rnacentral:rRNA from 1 species
GGGGAAUAUUGGACAAUGGGCGCAAGCCUGAUCCAGCAAUACCGCGUGUGUGAAGAAGGCCUGAGGGUUGUAAAGCACUUUUAAUCGGGAGGAACAUCUGGUGGCUAAUACCCAUCAGUCUGACAUUACCGAUAGAAAAAGCACCGGCUAACUCCGUGCCAGCAGCCGCGGUAAUACGGAGGGUGCAAGCGUUAAUCGGAAUUACUGGGCGUAAAGCGUGCGUAGGCGGCUUAUUAAGUCAGAUGUGAAAGCCCCGGGCUUAACCUGGGAACUGCAUUUGAUACUGGUGAGCUAGAGUUGAGUAGAGGAGAGGGGAAUUUCAGGUGUAGCGGUGAAAUGCGUAGAGAUCUGAAGGAACACCAGUGGCGAAGGCGCCUCUCUGGACUCAAACUGACGCUGAGGUACGAAAGCGUGGGUAGCAAAC